AACGAACGCUGGUGGCGUGCCUAAUACAUGCAAGUCGAACGCGAAAGUCAGCAAUGAUGAGUAAAGUGGCGCACGGGUGAGUAACACGUAGGUGACCUGGCCAUUUGUUGGGGAUAACAGUCGGAAACGACUGCUAAUACCGGAUAAGCUGUGAGUGAUUGGAAAACUUACAGGAAAGUUGGCGACUUAACUGGCCAACGCAUAUGGAUGGGCCUGCGUAACAUUAGCUAGUUGGUAGGGUAACGGCUUACCAAGGCAACGAUGUUUAACUGGUCUGAGAGGAUGAUCAGUCACACUGGAACUGAGACACGGUCCAGACUCCUACGGGAGGCAGCAGUAGGGAAUAUUGCGCAAUGGGGGAAACCCUGACGCAGCAACGCCACGUGAGUGAGGAAGGCCUUCGGGUUGUAAAGCUCUGUCAUUAGGGAAAAAUGGCGGUGCGGCUAAUAGUCGCAUCGAUUGAUGGUACCUAAGGAGGAAGCACCGGCUAACUUCGUGCCAGCCGCCGCAGUAA
rnacentral:rRNA from 1 species